rnacentral:rRNA from 1 species
AUUGAACGCUAGCGGCAGGCCUAACACAUGCAAGUCGAACGAGUGGCGGACGGGUGAGUAAUGUCUGGGAAACUGCCUGAUGGCGGGGGAUAACUACUGGAAACGGUAGCUAAUACCGCAUACCCUCGGAUGUGCCCAGAUCGGAUUAGCUAGUUGGUGGGGUAAAGGCUCACCUAGGCUACGAUCCCUAGCUGGUCUGAGAGGAUGACCAGACACACGGGAAAUGAGACACGGCCCAGACUCCUACGGGAGGCAGCAGUGGGGAAUAUUGCACAAUGGGGGCAAGCCUGAUGAAGCCAUGCCGCGUGUAUGAAGAAGGCCUUCGGGUUGUAAAGUACUUUUAGCGGGGAAGCGUUACCCGCAGAAGAAGCACCGGCUAACUCCGUGCCAGCAGCCGCGGUAAUAC